rnacentral:rRNA from 1 species
GACGAACGCUGGCGGCUUGCUUAACACAUGCAAGUCGAACGGAAAGGCCCUGCUUUUGUGGGGUGCUCGAGUGGCGAACGGGUGAGUAACACGUGAGUAACCUGCCCUUGACUUUGGGAUAACUUCAGGAAACUGGGGCUAAUACCGGAUAGGAGCUCCUGCUGCAUGGUGGGGGUUGGAAAGUUUCGGCGGUUGGGGAUGGACUCGCGGCUUAUCAGCUUGUUGGUGGGGUAGUGGCUUACCAAGGCUUUGACGGGUAGCCGGCCUGAGAGGGUGACCGGCCACAUUGGGACUGAGAUACGGCCCAGACUCCUACGGGAGGCAGCAGUGGGGAAUAUUGCACAAUGGGCGGAAGCCUGAUGCAGCAACGCCGCGUGCGGGAUGACGGCCUUCGGGUUGUAAACCGCUUUCGCCUGUGACGAAGCGUGAGUGACGGUAAUGGGUAAAGAAGCACCGGCUAACUACGUGCCAGCAGCCGCGGUGAUACGUAGGGUGCGAGCGUUGUCCGGAUUUAUUGGGCGUAAAGGGCUCGUAGGUGGUUGAUCGCGUCGGAAGUGUAAUCUUGGGGCUUAACCCUGAGCGUGCUUUCGAUACGGGUUGACUUGAGGAAGGUAGGGGAGAAUGGAAUUCCUGGUGGAGCGGUGGAAUGCGCAGAUAUCAGGAGGAACACCAGUGGCGAAGGCGGUUCUCUGGGCCUUUCCUGACGCUGAGGAGCGAAAGCGUGGGGAGCGAACAGGCUUAGAUACCCUGGUAGUCCACGCUGUAAACGGUGGGUACUAGGUGUGGGGUCCAUUCCACGGGUUCCGUGCCGUAGCUAACGCUUUAAGUACCCCGCCUGGGGAGUACGGCCGCAAGGCUAAAACUCAAAGGAAUUGACGGGGCCCCGCACAAGCGGCGGAGCAUGCGGAUUAAUUCGAUGCAACGCGUAGAACCUUACCUGGGUUUGACAUGGAUCGGGAGUGCUCAGAGAUGGGUGUGCCUCUUUUGGGGUCGGUUCACAGGUGGUGCAUGGCUGUCGUCAGCUCGUGUCGUGAGAUGUUGGGUUAAGUCCCGCAACGAGCGCAACCCUUGUUCACUGUUGCCAGCACGUUAUGGUGGGGACUCAGUGGAGACCGCCGGGGUCAACUCGGAGGAAGGUGGGGAUGACGUCAAGUCAUCAUGCCCCUUAUGUCCAGGGCUUCACGCAUGCUACAAUGGCUGGUACAGAGAGUGGCGAGCCUGUGAGGGUGAGCGAAUCUCGGAAAGCCGGUCUCAGUUCGGAUUGGGGUCUGCAACUCGACCUCAUGAAGUCGGAGUCGCUAGUAAUCGCAGAUCAGCAACGCUGCGGUGAAUACGUUCCCGGG